GGAAGAGAGGAUUGAACCAAUGGCAGCCCUCGCUGCCUCGUCAGCCGCAGCGGUGGGUUUGGCAGGAGGAACCUCAGCUCAGUCAAAGGCCAGGCAGGCUUUGAAGCGUCAGCUUCAGCGUCUGCUCCAGUGUAAGCUUCAGCGUAGGGUCCACGCGCCCGGGGUUCAUUCGCCAGUAGCUUCAGCCUCGUCCGAUGAAGUCUCGGAGAAUGAAGUCACUGCAGUCGGCCGUUGCAGUCAGCUGGGGCGGGCACGGGAGGCGCGGGACUCGCACUCGCUUUCGUCUUUGGAGGCCCGGAACCCUGCCUCUGCUCUGCCAGGUCUGUCUAAUCUUCUCAGACGUGUGGCCGUUGCUCUGCCGGGUCCAGAGAUGCUAUGCUAGCUUCACAGACAUGUGGCCUAACCAUUCUUCCAAACCCUUGCUAAACUCUACCAGACACAGGUUCCGGCAGCUGUCCGACCGACUCGCCGAGACCAAACUCCUUCAUCGGAUCUUUGGCAUCAACUUGGACUUACUUGACUCUUGUUCUGCCAAAUGAAAUGUACUGUGUAACUCUGCCGAGUCCAUUAAAA